CCCUUGGAGUGCAGUAGCAGCACAUAAUGGUUUGUGGGAUACACAGAGGUGCAGGCCAUAUUGUGCUGCCACCAAAACACAAGGC